UUUCAGAAAGCCUUUGCGCAUCUGUGUUGAUUCAUAAAAUUUUGCAGACGUGCGCACACCUCUGUGCCUUGAGUAUCUUUAUUCACUAAUGUGAAUUAAUUAAGACUGCCAUAAGUUAUGUGUGUGGGUAUGUGUUUACAUGCAAGCUGUCCUUGCAUAAACCUCACAGGUGAAGACCCAGCAGCUGGUGAUAGAGUGAGGGGCAUCUGAUGGAUGGAGAGCGAGAAAGUCGACAAGGGGUUGCCUUCAAGAGUUCAGUGAGAAGAAACCAGACGAGUAUAGAACUGCGUGCUGAAGACUUAAAGCACUCAAGGAUUCAAAGCAGACAAUUUCAUUGAGUAUGCCAAUAUGACAGCACCACCAAUGUAGAGCAGUUUGACAGGUAUAAUAAGAGUGACUGGCCUAAAUCAGAAUAUUGGAAAUAAUUGUCACUUCUUGUUCUGAGUAAAUUUGAUGCAAAUAAGCUGUGACAACUGUCUUUGUGUCAACUAUGUAUUUUCCUCUUGCAUUUCCUUUUGCAUAAAAUGCCACUACAA